ensembl:lncRNA
UUCUUGUGGCAAAAAUCCUUUAUUAAACUAGAUUUUGUAAAUUCCUUUUCACAUUAGAAAUUCUAAACGCAAUUACAAAAUUGUGUUUCAGUAAAAAAAAAAGAAUGGAAGUUAACAGCAAAAUUACAUCUUUAUACAAAUAAAAAAAUCUUUUUUUUUUUUAAUUUCAAUUUAAAAAUAGACAUUGAUAUCUUCCAAUGUACUGGUCCUGACAGCUUUGACACCUGGUAGCUACCAGAAUACUCGGUCUUUUCACAUGCAUAUUCACACAGUCAUGUAGUACUCGGCAUACUCCAAUUAGUUGAAGUAGCACUCAAAUAGCAUUAUCAGUUGGGUUGUCACUGUUUUUUGUGUUGUUGUUUUUUUUUUUUUUAAUUAAAAAUACUUUUAUUUAUUAAAAAAAACAACUAAUUUUGAUGCACAGGCAUCGUGGUAACAAACAUUUCUUUUUCAGUGUUCGUACUCUGUCCUCUUCCUCGCUCUGUGAAGAGGGCAAUACUACUUUGCAAAUGUGAAAUGCAUUUGAAGACAUGACCAUGAGCAACAGAGAGUCCACGUAUGGUUUAUCACAGUACAUUUACAAUGAUCUUCCAUUGUUAUCAUCAACAAUAAAAAUCGUCCUCUUACUUACCAGACAUAUUUUGCCUGAGGUGUCCUUCAGCAGGCCUAUCAAAAACACUGAGUUUAGACAAGAUUAUACCACAUAUGAUUAAAAACAAAACCCAAGUUAACCCGAGUAUUAUCAAGAUUUUGUUUAAAAAUCACUUCUGCCCCAUUGCUUUCAUGACCAAUGGAAAUAUAUUUCCAAACACUUGCACCACUCUGGAAAAGAACUAUCCCCAUUGCAUUUUUCUUCCUUCCUCCUUUUCCUUCUUUACUGUAGGGCUACACAUUAGAGCUACAGCGUUCAACUGAAUUUUGUAUGAACAAUUUGAGAAUCUUCCUAUAUUAAAAAUUGAAGUAAACAUUAAAACGUUUCAUAGAAGAAGAAACCAAAAGUCACAUUAGAGGCGAGCAGCCAUUGCAACCACAUGCUGUUGAAUAGAUUAAGAAGUGGCACACAAUACAGGCAUUUGAAAAGUCGCACGUAAUUUCAGAGUGCUGGUGGCCAUACGACUAAGUGCUACCUGGAUUCAAAAUAUAAAAUCCAUUAUUUUCACAACAUGCCUCAUGACUCACACUGAUGCAACUGCAAAAGACAUCAGAAAGGCUGGAAGUCUAAAACGUAACCUCUUUUCAAAUGUUGUUUUCAAACAAUUCUAUUUUAAAUAAUUCAUCCCACUAUAGAAUCCUUAUCCUAUUAUAAAAGCAAUUGAAGAAACAUGAGAAUUCCUGUGUGUUUUUCUGGAUAGUUUGGCAAGAAUUAAGAAACUUCAUGCUUUCAAAUAAUAGAACCCUACUUUCUUUCUCUGCACUGAUCUUCUGCUCCAUUCUAUAUCCCAUUCAGUAAAGCUUCUAAGCGCACACUUAAACUCCUACAGAUGAAAACAGCUGAGCUCAUCAUCUUUUCUCUGAAUCGGAAGGGCAAUGCCUCAUGUCAAGCUGCUGAAGCUGAUAGAGGUUUCGUCUAUAGUUUCAAUAAAAGCAAGACUGCUUCUGCCUGUUACAAUAUUAAACCACAACUUUCAUCUAAAUUCGUGCUGGGAUCAACAACUUAUAAUUAGGCAAACCACCAGCUUGCAGGAAGGUAUGGUAUCCAACAUACCUCAGUGAACCCAGGCCUGUACCCAAAGGCACAAGGGACAGAGAGAAAGAAAGAGAAACAUUCCAAACUGCUUCAGCUCUGCCUUCUCCACUGACUGACAGAUGGGAGAAAAGCUCUCCUAGUAGGGCAUGGUGCUGAGGUUUUGCCCUGAACAUUUUUAGCCCUAUUUGGUUAAACACAAAGAGAGAAAACAAUGAGAGGGAGGGACACUGAAAAUCUGUGGGUGCAGCUUCCAUAGACUGUUUCUGCACUUUUUUUUUUUAACUUAAGAUCAAAGGUGUUGAUUCAAGAGAUUAAUUAAUGUAUUUAUUAUCUUACAGCAGUAGGCUCAAGAGAGGCUCAGAAAGUGGCACUCCAGGAGGACCGUGAGCCCACCAGGUAGAGCAUUUUAUUGGAAAGUGAGAGCCGGGUGCAGUUGUUGUUCCUCACUUAGCCAGCAGAAGGAGAAAAGCUGUGCUUCUCACCUCCUGGGUAAGUGCAUCAACAACUAGGCUAAGAUGAACAGAUGGACAAGGCAACAACUCCUGCUCAACUUCUGAACUGAAAUCUAAGCUGUCUUUGUCCGUGUCAGAAUGGUGUGAAUGUGCUGAGUGAAUCAGGCCCCUCCCAACACAACCAGAAGUGUAGGCAUUUCUCUGGGUACAAGCUCACUUGCAUUACUUUGGCACCCAGUGGCUCAACACUGACACUUCCAAGUAUAAACUGAGACCUCUGCUGGACAAUUCUGCCACCCAGGCCAACCAGCAGGGACUAUGCUGCAAAGAAGUGCCCCAAAGAGCCACGUGUCCAUUCAGUAUAAAAAGCAACAGUAAGGAGAAUUUGCUCAAAAACAGAAGGAACUUUCUUUGUCCAGAAGAACAAUCCUAGCUCCAUUUAGGCAUUUCAGAUGUCUGCAGCCCCAGUGCCUGAAAGACAUCAGUCUUUCAUUCUAGGCAGUCACAGAGGAUGGAGCGUGGGCUUCACCCCGCAGGUGCAGCAGCAUAAACAACCCUGCUAGUGCUGCUUGGGGGGCCCAAAUAUUUUGUACUUCAAACACUGCUUAACAGUAUAGCUCAACAAGGAGAAAAUGGGGCAUGAAUUAAUAAAGUACCCAUAAAAAAUAUAAAACUUAUUACUUAAAAGAAUUAUUCCAGUAAGAGUCUGAUUAAAUAUUACUCAAGCUAUUCUUGCAUUCAAAAUCACCAAAAAAGAUUACUGUAUCUGUUAAAGCAUGAGAAACUCAUUUUUUGAUCUACUGUAUGCUGCAUUCACUGUGUAUCUAUUACAGUAAAUACAGCAGUAAAUUCAGUAAACCUCAAGUCUUUCCAUUUGUCAGCAACACAUUUUGCAAUGAAACCUAUUUCUGCGCACAGCUUUUCUCACAGAAGUUCCUUGCUUAUACUACCCAUGCACGCAAAUGGCAGAACUCGCACACACAUAUGGAUUCAUACAGAAAUUCCACGUGCGUGAAGUUCCCGGAUAAGAUUUACUGAGAAAGUAUUUUAAAGAACGAGAAACUCUCCUAUUAAUCCUUAACCUAUUAAUACUAUUUCUAAUACACAACUCAUAUCCAUUCUUAAAACAAAGCUUUACAUUAGGAAACAAAAAAAAAAAAAAGCAAACAAAAAAACAACCAGUUUAAUGAAUUCCUAUGCCCUUCUGGAAGUAAAGGUGUAAGACGUAAUUCAUUGUAGAAGGUACUCCAAUGAGAAAAGGUUCUGACUGCUUGCUGAAAAUCCAUGCCAAAGUACAGGUGUUUCUAUUUAUUGGGUUUUUUAGUCCCUUUGGUUUUUUAUUUAUUUAUUUAUUCUGUGGCACGGUUUUGUGUCUCUGUUUUUAAAACAGGUAUAUUCAGAUGCAACGCCACCAUGGACAGAGUACCUUUCAUACCUUCUUCAAGAAGGACGAUUACUACUGUAAUAUUCACAUUCAAUUUGAUGUUGAAAAUACAUUUUAAAUGUCUCAAAGAUAAACAGAUUUUCUACAAGGAGAUUACCAAAGUUAAUAUGCACAGAAUGAAGACAUCACUAUUAAAUACCUGUAAAAUGAAACAGUACCAAUUUCACUCCAUUCGAAAAGUCAUAAAAGGUAUACUUUUCAUUCAAUAGUUCUUGUGGGUUUGAUUUUUUUUGUUUAGUUUUGUUUUUAAAUGAGUGCAUUUCCCAUUAGCUAUGUCUAAGUAGAUGUUUUAUUGCCUCCUUUAACAGAUCUCUAAAUCUACAAAAAAUUACCUAACGUGUACCUGGUCUUAAUGUACAGUCCUUCCAUUUGUUUCAAAAGUAAUUUGGAAUAGAGUAAGAACAAUGGAACUGGUCAAGUUGUCACAAAAUGACUACUAAGAACACCUCUGACUCUCAAAGAAAUCUGGAAGUGUUUUAACAUUCAACAGUAACAGGAUUCAAAAUAGCAAUAGUUGCUGAGCUCCCACCUCUCCUCUGCUCUUCAGAAGAAUUUAGCACAAAGUUCUGAAUCACAACAUAGCUGCACAGGGUUCUACAUUCCAAAAACACUGAAAUUACUGGAAUUUAAAUAGGUGAAGUGAGAGUUACGGACUGAGUAAGCUGAGAAGACUGCUGUACCUAAAAAUUGUACCUCAACUUUCCUUGAAAA